GUGAAGAACGCAGUGAAAUGCGAUAAGUAAUGCGAAUUGCAGAAUUCCAGUGAGUCAUCGAAUCUUUGAACGCACAUUGCGCCCUUUGGUAUUCCGAAGGGCAUGCCUGUUCGAGCGUCAUUAUCACCCCUCAAGCACGGCUUGUGUGUUGGGCCUCCGUCCUCCUCCCGGGGGACGGGCCCGAAAGGCAGCGGCGGCACCGCGUCCGGUCCUCGAGCGUAUGGGGCUUCGUCACCCGCUCUUGUAGGCCCGGCCGGCGCUUGCCGACACAUCAAUCUUUUUUCCAGGUUGACCUCGGAUCAGGUAGGGAUACCCGCUGAACUUAAGCAUAUCAAUAAGCGGAGGA
rnacentral:misc_RNA from 1 species